rnacentral:misc_RNA from 1 species
GAUGAAGAACGUAGCGAAAUGCGAUACGUAAUGUGAAUUGCAGAAUUCAGUGAAUCAUCGAGUCUUUGAACGCACGUUGCGCCCCCUGGUAUUCCGGGGGGCAUGCCUGUCCGAGCGUCAUUGCUGCCCUCAAGCACGGCUUGUGUGUUGGGCCUCCGUCCUCCUCCCGGGGGACGGGCCCGAAAGGCAGCGGCGGCACCGCGUCCGGUCCUCGAGCGUAUGGGGCUUCGUCACCCGCUCUUGUAGGCCCGGCCGGCGCUUGCCGACACAUCAAUCUUUUUUCCAGGUUGACCUCGGAUCAGGUAGGGAUACCCGCUGAACUUAAGCAUAUCAUAAGCGGAGGA